CGGCGUUGAAAGACAUGGCUGUCGCUACAGACCAGGAGACAGGGAAGACAGCAGCGGAGCAAGUGAAAAAGGUCUAGGGCUGUUGGAGGAAGCAUUUCAAAAGAUCAGCAAAGGAAAGAGUUUCUUUGGGGGAGAUCACAUUGGUUACCUUGACAUUGCAUUUGGGGGACUUUUGGGGUGGUUAAGAGGGACUGAGGGACUGGAUGGGGUCAAGCUGAUAGACGAAACAAAGACGCCGGGGUUUCUAAAAUGGGCUGAUAAGUUUGCUGCAGAUCCUGCCGUGAAAGAUGUUUUUCCAGACAUAGAGAAGCUUCCUGAGUUUCGUAGGUUCUUGCAGCCAAAUUAAGAGCUGCUGCAGCUUCUGGGACAAAAUAAUCAAUCUAGUGUUCUAUGUUUGUCAUUGUUGUGUGAAGUGUGGGAGCAUUUGUCAUUGUUGUGUGAGGUGUGGGAGCAUUUGCCAUUGUUGUGUGAAGUGUGGGAGCAGUAUUUUGUGUUUAUUAUGAGAAAUAAUCAAGACCUGAAAACGAUCUCUACAUUUUCAGAACUUCCUGUGUAAAAUACUUGCCAUCAGUUAUGAAAAUUCGAGGUUCAAGAACUCAAAAACGGGUUAUAGACACUCAGAUUCAAAUUAUAUCUCGCUUCCUCUCUCUCAUCGCCCUCUCUAUGAUCAAUGAACCCAGCUCUUGAAGGUAAAAAGAACAAAGAUUUCUGGGCGCGUACGAUUUAAACGAGACCAAUAUGGGGAGGGAAAAAAAUAACAAAAAAUAAAAUAAAAAAAGGAGACGGUCGAAUGGGCCUAAGUGGGCUAGACGGACAUAAGCUGUGUCUAGGCGGUGGCCAGGUUGGUGGCCUAAGCAGACUAGGGACUCACCAUUUAAAAACAAAAAAAAUUUAGAAAAGAUACGGUGGACUGGGCCUAGGUGGGCUAGGAGGAGAUGGGGUUUGUCUAGGCGGUGGCAAGGUUGGUAGGCCUUUCCAGGAUAAUGGAUCCACCAUUAAAAAAAUAGGAAAAAAAGACAAACUAUAUAGUUCGACUGUUCGACCCAGACAAGUCGUCUCUCGCCGUCCCUGAGUUCUGAUCUCUCUCCGGCGGAUGGCGGCGGCACUCCACGACUCGGAAUCGGUCGUCACCUGCUCUUCUGCUCAUUUGCUCAAUCAAAGCACACUGUGAUUAUGAAGAAGCAAUUGAUUCUGAUGAAGAGUUGGACAUGGCCUCAUUGGCAACCAGCCCAUGCAGGUCUCUGUCAUCAGUUGGUCUUCCUUGCUAAUGAUCAGUGAAACAUGGUUGGUAUAUUUAAGUACACAAAUGGUUAGGAUUCCUGUACUAAUCUAAGUCCAAGUUUCAGACAUCACUGUGAGCAAAUGGUACUAAUUAACCAAGUAACCAACUAAACUGACGAGAGAUGUUAAGGAUGCAUAGCGCAUGGUAUACAUUCCCAGAACAUGUGUAAUGUGUAUUCCUGAUUUGGUAUUUGAUGCUUUUGGGUGUGGAAUUCAACUUGUUGUUAUUUGAUUUGGUCAUCAAACUAACAUGUGUGAAUACUUGACUCUGGAUUGUUUUGUGUUCUAGCUUUUUUUUUGUGUGGUGUUUGAAAUUGUUCUUGUGUUGGGUGCAGACAGUUUGGCUGGAUAAGAGUACAGGAUUUGCUUGCCUGUCGAUUUCAUCAUAGGUGUUAAUAAUCACCGGAAUUAAUGAUCGGAGAUAAUGGAAUCUUAUACCUACUGAAGGAUCUAGGUGAGAUUUGCUCAGUGGCAAGGUUGGUGUUAAGCGGGUUAGGGGACCCACCUUUUAAAAACAAAACAAAUAUAAAAAAAAAAUUACGGUGGACUGGGCCUUAGUGGGCUAGCGGACAUGUGCUAUGUCUAGACGGUGGCAAGGUUUGUGGGCUUAAUUGGGCUAGGGGACCCACCAUUUAAAAACAAAAACAAAAAUAACACGGUGCACUGGGCUUAGUGGGCUAGGCGGAUAUGGGGUGUGUCUAGACGGUUGCAAAGUUGGUGGGCCAAGCGGGAUAGGGGACAGCGUAAAAAUAAAUAAAUAAAUAAAAGGCUAAUUAUGUAUGGUUUAAGCACACGACUUAGGCAAAGCUUGAACUCCACACUUACAAGAGAGAUUGAUUAUCCAUAAACUUCUACUUCUUCUUCCAUAGUUAAAUGUUUCGGUGGAAUUGAAAUCAUUGAACAGAAUCAGAUCCUGAUGCCCGUAGCCGAAUCAGCAUAAGGCAUCAUCUGAUCAUCAUGAUCAGCUGAAACCCAACUAAUCCAUGACAGUGAUGACACUAUCCACCAAACCAACGGCGACAAGUGACAGCUGCAGCUUUAGACACCUCCCUCACUUGUGACUAGGACCUUCCUGCCAGCUACAUCAUUGCCUCGACCCAAACUAGACAAAGAAAGACAUAGACACUGGUUUGGGUAUAACAAAGACUGUUCCUUCACCUACUUGAAAUGGAGAGAGGAGUUGUAGUGAAAGUUGACAAAUGGGGUUACGAAGUAAACACCUCCUCAGAUGCUUGCAUAUCUGCCAUUAACGCCUUCUAUGUUCAGGUUGGCCAUUCUUGCUUUGUCUCCUUCUCUAAACUUUUGGCAUGUGGAAAUAAAAUUUGAAAUGGGUUUCUAUUUAUGAAGGUUUUGAGUUAUGGGAGAGGCAGGUCUGUUAUAUUAGAAGCGCCGGCACACGACAGCAACUGUGGCUGCGCAUUUUCUGUGCUCGUCUGAUCCUUCCAAAGCUCCUCCGUAUCUCCAAGCGGCCAAGUCUCGGCUCGUAAGCUUCUCUUGAUUUUAAACCGUUUUUAUUAGUUUAAAUCGGGUGUUUAGUUUUCUGUGGUGUAAUGAGACGCUGAUUGUGGACAGGAACAAGCUACCCCGUACGAGAAGGCAGUUUUCGAUUCUGUCAAUUGUUUGAUUUCCGGGGAUAGAGAUGAUGAUGUUGCCUUUGAGUUGCAUUCUAAGGUGGGACCAGUUCUUUUAUUGGAAUUUUUCCAUUUCCUGAUUUGCAGAUGAUGCAGACAUUUAGUUUGGUUAUAAUUGUGGGAGACGUCUGGAAUGCUCCGGAGCGUCUGUGAGACGUUUGUUUUGUGACGGAAGUGAAAAGGUAACUAGCUCGUUUUAACUGUCGAUUGCAAGCACGUCCUAGCGAGGUGCGUCGUGCGUGGGUGACUAUGCGUUGCAGGUCUGUGUUGUCUUGGAUCCGACAGAAAGGCUGGGUCGAGGAGGCGGGGUAUGACUGGAGAGGGAACUGAUUUCUGGAUCGGAACGAAGAAACUAGGGCUGACCUCGGGCUGGACCAGCGGAAGAUCCGGAAGGAGUAGUUGGAUCGGAGGUUGAUCAAGGGAAGCGAGAUGGAGCCCGACCUGGAUUGCCAUAUCGAGCUGGAGGAGAGGAACUUGUACCUGAGGAAGUGGUGGUUGCGUGACGACAGCGGCGAGUAGAUUCCGAGCCAGUCGAGCUUCGACGGCGAGUCAACGCCGGACCAUUUGAUCAGAACCGAGUCGCCGGAUUUCGAUAGCCUCGUCGUGUUUAACGACACCGAGGGUUUCUGAUGGGUCGGAUCGAAACAGAACCCGAGUAUAAGAAUGAAGAAGAAAACAAACUGCGGCGAAGCAACAACCAUCGUGGUGGUGCUGGUGAUUGACCCAGCAAUAAUGAAACUGGAUAGUGUGCGGAGGAAACAUUUACUGAGUUAUGCAACUCACGCACUCAAGGAGACUAACGGGAGACUAACACGGACGAAAUACAUGCGCCAAUGGAGGAUCGACACGUAACCAAGACAAACGUGGAGCAUGGACGCUUCGGAGCAUUCCAGAACUCACGUGUAUAGAUCUUUUGGGAAGUUUCUCAAACUAGAAAGUUUGAACUUCAUACACAAUCUGAUGUGUCAGGAAUUCAAUUACUAUUUUCACUUGCUCCUGUUUGAAUCUGCCCCAAUGCCGUAGAUGCUUGUCUCAGAUGCUGUUCAUCUUCAUUAAUCACAUAAAUAGCAAGACAUAAAAACAAAGCAAAAUAUUGCAAGUGAAGAUGUUUAUAUUGAAUCAUCCAUCUAGCAAAUUGUAUGGUUCAGGAUUUGGUACUGCUAGUUUUAUAUAGUUUAGUUCAAGUGUCAGAUGUGCAGCCCUUAAAAGUAAGUUUAGUCUUUAAUCUUCAUUGCUUUUGAGCGCACAAAGCUGUCACUUCAUUCGCAACCAAGUCCAAUCAAAACUCAUCGAAACAGUGUACACAAGAUCUUGUGAUCAACUUGCAGACGUGUUUACCAAGGUUCUUGCUUCCGCACAGUUUGAGAGUCUGCUUUUCAAGCUUGGCUCAAGAAACUCCCUUGAUCCAACUUGAGGGGGAGUGCUGAGAUCAGCUUACUUGUGAUACACAUCUCCUCUCAAUCUUUCUGUCAUUGACCCUUGUUUUAGGGCUCCUCCAUGCUCUUCAGCAUGUGUGCAUGUGUAAAUGUGUAGAUCCAUAUUUAUAGGCAGAAAGUAAGGAACUGCUGGUAGAUAGGAUGUUGUGGUUCUUAGCUUGUUUCCUUCUCUUCUAUACGUACCUACCUCUGUAAGUUUACAACACAGUUAGUAAAAUACAGGCCCGUUCACUUGCGGGACGAUUUUUACGGGACAAAAUGAUAUCAGCCCUCCGAUUUGGUUAGUUUAGAUCUAAUGGCUCUAAAUCAUUAAACUAAAACUCUUCUGUUCAUCAUUCCAACCCAGGUCUCAAACACAUUACCUCUUCACCUCCAUCUUCUAAAAUCUUCAGAUAUAGGAAAGGAAACCCCGAGACAAGUUAGAUGGAACAUGAUUCCAAGAGGCAAGACUACAGAUGCACAAGGUUAAUUACAAACACCACAAAAAACUACAAUGAGAUUUCAUAAAGAUGGCCGCCACCACUAAAGCCGCUGCUGCAAGUCAUGCAAAACCUUCACUUCCGGCUUCACUCCUUCCAUACCCAAUUUGAUCUUCCAAUUUAAUCUCAUAUCUAAGGCAGAAAUUUAUGCACCAAUAAUGAAAUCAUGGAUGAGAUCAUAAGUUCAUCCCUUUGGAUUUAAUCCAAAUUUGAAGCAUCCUACCUCAAUAAAGCAAUGAUCUUGGGUACUUGUAGAUUAGAAAAGAAUGAAUCAUGGGUUUUAGCUAAACCCAGAAUUUAAGACGUUGUGGAAAUCCAGAUGAGCAUAUACAGGGAGAGAAGGAUAGAAAGGGAACAACGAAGGAAGAAGAUGGGAAAUGAAUUCGGUGUGGGUUGUGUGGAUUCACAAAGGUUUGUGGAGUCCCUUUCAGCCGUUGGAUCUGAUUCAUUUAAAUCAAAUGGCUAUAAGCUAGGUAUCCCAUUUUGUCCCGUAAAAGUUGUCCCGCAGGUGAGCGGGCCUGUAGUAAAAUAUAUUCAUCUUCUCCAUUUAAAUCUUCUUUAAUAGAUACGGUGUGUAUCUCCAUAUACAUAUAUAAAUAGUCAAGAUUAGAGGAAAUAAUAUAGAAACAUGGUGGUCAAACAUAUGAAUUGUUAUGAACGGUUAAGAUUGUGUCGUAUAAAUACACGUCGUGCAUACAAGAAUUAUGUCUUCUUUAAUAAUCUUCUCUUCCACGUGUUAUCUUCUUCGCCCCACCAAACAACCACACACCGCCCUCGAUCUGCCUAUCAGAGAGCAACGUAGAAAUGACUAUUUCUGUAACUGUCGAGACAAUAUGCAUCGUAAUUUCUUUAGUUUUCUAACACACGGUUACACGAUAUCUUCUGCUUUCUUUCCAUCCAUCCAUCCAUUUUCACAAACGUAAACGUUGCACUAAAUUUGACAAGGACCACUGCAACGCCAGUCUAUAGAAAUUGAAUUCUCAUCCCCUCCGACCUUGCCAAUUCACACACUCUACCUAACCUUCAUUACGUUCACACCUCACUUCCCAUCCAAUUUAUUUGACCGUUCACUCGUAUAUUAGUGCUCUGUUUUCCCCUGUAUUCUCAUUCACCCCAACACCCUGAACAGAGUUCAUAAGUGUAAGUUUUGAUCAUGGCUAAGAAUGAUGUGAAGCUUAUAGGAGCAUGGCCGAGCCCAUUUGUGUUGAGGGCUCGUAUUGCCUUGAACGUCAAGUCUGUAGAGUACGAGUUUCUUCAGGAGACAUUGGGAACCAAGAGUGAGCUUCUGCUCAAAUCGAACCCUGUUCACAAGAAAAUCCCUGUUCUGAUUCAUAAUGACAAACCCAUCUGUGAAUCUCUUAUCAUUGUGGAGUACAUCGACGAGGCUUGGGCCUCUGGCCCGUCCAUCCUGCCUUCUGAUCCCUACGACCGCGCCAUUGCCAGAUUCUGGGCUGCUUAUAUCGAUGAGAAGGUAUGUUGUAUACAUUAUUUGGUUAUGAUUUAGAUCCAUUCAUGAAUGUGAUUUACUUUUCUUUGUUUGAGUGUUGUAAUUUGGUUGAGCAUAGAUGCUAGUUGUGCAUGGAAUGAACAAGUAUAUAUGUUCAUGGCUAGAGGCAAACAGUGAAACAAAUUAUAUGAUAAUUCUUGAAAUAUCUAUAAAAUUUGCUGAUAUAUAUGUAUGACUCAGUUUUGUGAAUGCAAUAUAUCUGCUUUGAAAGUUGGAUCCUUGAAAGUUUGGAAGAAGCUAACACUUUGAAUUGCAUGUGGAUUUUGUUUAUAGAUCUGGUAGAGCUAGUUAGAUAGUAUGUCCAUCUCCUUGGAGACUUGUUUGGCCAUUUCGGGUUACAUCUCGGGAGAAGUAGACUACAGAUGUUCUUGAUUAAAACAUAUUUGGAAGUCUGAUCUAAUAAACUUAUUCGAUUCAAAAAUGACAUUUUGAAUCAGAUGUUAAGUUGUACUUCUCAUGCUUUUGACAAACUUGGUCUAGUAGAUGAACAAAUUGGAGCGAGAGAAUUCUGUCUCUCCUUGUCAAAAUAUGUAUUCAUAUUUUUAAGAUGCUUUGGCCGGAUAAUGUAACUGGUUUUAGGUGAUGCUGUUAUUGUUGAUGAGGCAUUUUGUACCAUAGACAAUGGUUAUCUUGGAUUAAUGAUGACAUGGGUGCUAUGUACUUGUAGUGGUUCCCGGCGAUGAAAGGCAUCGCUGCCGCUACAGAUGACGAGGCGAGGAAGGCAGCAGUGGGGCAAGUGGCAGAAGGUCUAGCGCUGUUGGAGGAAGCAUUUCAAAAGAUCAGCAAAGGAAAGAGUUUCUUUGGGGGAGAUCACAUUGGUUACCUUGACAUUGCAUUUGGGGGACUUUUGGGGUGGUUUAGAGUGACUGAGGGAAUGGGUGGGAUCAAGCUGAUUAACGAAACAAAGACGCCGGGGUUGCUAAAAUGGGCUGAGAAGUUUGCUGCAGAUCCUGCCGUGAAAGAUGUUCUGCCAGAGAUAGAGAAGCUUACUGAGUUUAGUAAGGUUAUUGUAGCCAAAUUAAGAGCGGCUGCAACUUCUGGGGCAAAGUAAUUAAUCUAGUGUUCAAUGUUUGUCAUUGUUGUGUGAACUGUAGCAGUAUUUUGUGUUUAUUAUGAGAAAUAAUCAAGACCUGAAAAGGGUCUUUACAUUUUCAGAACUUCUUAUGUAAAAACUAAAAAACUUUGCUGUCAGUUAUGAAAUUGAAUGGUGAAACAGAGGCUGGUGUCGGAAUUGUAUUAUCGUGGUGCUAGAACCCAAUUUAUGCCUCGCUUCCUCUCUCAGUUCCUGUAACUGAGAUUUCCGGUCGCCUACGAUUUGAACAGGACAAAUCUAAGGAGGAAAAAUAACAAAAAAAAAAAAAGAGAUGGUGGACUGGGCCUAAGUGGGCUAGACGGACAUGUGUCGUGUCUAGGCGGAUUCCAUGUAAGUGGGCCUAAGCAGGUUGUGGGACCCAUCAUUUAAAAACAACAAAAAUAAAAAAAGAUACGGUGGACUGGGCCUUAGUGGGCUAACGGAUAUGAGAGAUGUCUAGGCGGUGACCUGCUGGUUGGGCCUAGCGGGCUAGGGGACCCACCCUUUAAUAAUAAAAAAAAGGCGUUCAAUUUCGACUUGGGCAAAUAGUUGAAUGUUUGGGUGGGAUUGAAAUCAUUGGAAAAGAAUCAGAUCCUAAUGGCCGUAGCCGAAUCGCAUAAGGCAGCAUCAUGAUCAGCCGAACCCAACUAGACAACUAGUCCCUGACACUAUCCACCAAACCAACUGCGACAAGUGACAGCUGCAGAGCAACGUAAUCGACACCUCCUCACUUGUGACUAGGACCUUCCUAUCCUACGUACCUACUACACUCCAUUUCCUCGAUCCAAACUAAACAAAGAAAGACAGAGGCACUGUUUUGGGUAACAAAGAUUGUUCCUUCACUUGAAAUGGAGAGAGGAGAAGUGAAAGUUGACAAAUGGGGUUACGAAGUAAACACUUCCUCAGAUGCUUGCAUAUCUGCCAUUAACGCCUUCUAUGUUCAGGUUGCUCAUUCUUGCUUUGUCUGCUUCUCUAAACUUUUGGCAUGUGGAAAUAAAAUCUGAAAUGGGUUUCUGUUUUUGAAGGUUUUGAGUUAUGGGAGAGGCAGGUCUGUGAUAUUAGAAGCGCCGACACACGAUAGCAACUGUGUGCUUGCUAAUAUUUUGGCUGCGCAUUUUCUGUGCUCGUCUGAUCCUUCCAAAGCUCAUCCGUAUCUCCAAGCGGCCAACUCUCGGCUCGUAAGCUUCUCUUGAUUCUAAACCGUUUUUAUUAGGUUAAAUUGGGUGUUUAGUUUCCUGUGGUGUAAUGAGACGCUGAUUGUGGACAGGAACAAGCUACCCCGUACGAGAAGGCAGUUUUCGAUUCUGUCAAUUAUUUGAUUUCCGGGGAUAGAGAUGAUGAUGUUGCCUUUGAGUUGCAUUCUAAGGUGGGACCAGUUCUUUUAUUGGAAUUUUUCCAUUUCCUGAUUUGCAGAUGAUGCAGACAUUUAGUUUGGUUAUAAUUGUGUGUAUAGAUCUUUUGGGAAGUUUCUCAAACUAGAAAGUUUGAACUUCAUACACAAUCUGAUGUAUCAGGAAUUCAAUUACUAUUUUCACUUGCUCCUGUUUGAAUCUGCCCCAAUGCCGUAGAUGCUUGUCUCAGAUGCUGUUCAUCUUCAUUAAUCACAUAAAUAGCAAGACAUAAAAACAAAGCAAAAUAUUGCAAGUGAAGAUGUUUAUAUUGAAUCAUCCAUCUAGCAAAUUGUAUGGUUCAGGAUUUGGUACUGCUAGUUUUAUAUAGUUUAGUUCAAGUAUCAGAUGUGCAGCCCUUAAAAGUAAGUUUAGUCUUUAAUCUUUGUUGAUUUUGAGUCAUUUUGUUUUGCAGCUCUUGAAAUGUUUUCCUAAAGAUCUGGUGUCUCUAAAAAGGGCCCAACUGUUGUGCUUCUACAUGGCUCGAAAUGAUCUCUCACUGGAUCUUGUUCAACAGGUUCACUUCUAUGCUAAGGAUAUAUAAAGUUUUUAUUUUUCCUAGGACAAUGUGGAGUAUAUAGUUAAUUCAUUUCCUGAUAUAUUUUUUCCUAGCAUCUUCUUACUAUGACCUGAUAUGUAGUACUUUCCUUUUUGGUUUUAAGCAUUUCAUGAUAGUUUUGUGACCUUCAGGGUGAAUGUUUUCUUUACUGUUGUGUAAAAAUUUUGCUAACAGGUUUUACCAAGUAAUCAA
rnacentral:lncRNA from 1 species